GAUGAACGCUGGCGGCGUGCCUAAUACAUGCAAGUCGAGCGAACAGACGAGGAGCUUGCUCCUCUGACGUUAGCGGCGGACGGGUGAGUAACACGUGGAUAACCUACCUAUAAGACUGGGAUAACUUCGGGAAACCGGAGCUAAUACCGGAUAAUAUAUUGAACCGCAUGGUUCAAUAGUGAAAGACGGUUUUGCUGUCACUAUAGAUGGAUCCGCGCCGCAUUAGCUAGUUGGUAAGGUAACGGCUUACCAAGGCAACGAUGCGUAGCCGACCUGAGAGGGGGAUCGGCCACACUGGAACUGAGACACGGUCCAGACUCCUACGGGAGGCAGCAGUAGGGAAUCUUCCGCAAUGGGCGAAAGCCUGACGGAGCAACGCCGCGUGAGUGAUGAAGGUCUUCGGAUCGUAAAACUCUGUUAUUAGGGAAGAACAAAUGUGUAAGUAACUAUGCACGUCUUGACGGUACCUAAUCAGAAAGCCACGGCUAACUACGUG
rnacentral:rRNA from 1 species